ensembl:lncRNA
UACUCGCUCCUUUUCUUCACUUUCUGUUUAUCAUAUUUAACUUUUUCCUUUUCGUUCAGGUAUAGUGCAGCAAACAUGGAGGCCACACUUACCCGGCAACAAAAAUGUGACGCCGAUGGGUUUUCCUGCCCUGUGGCGCCGCAAUACUGGACCUGGGGAAACCACAUGAAUGAUUGUAAGAGGCCCCUUCAAGAAGGAGCGGUCCCAAAUGCUUUGUGGACUCCGAAGUGCCCCCAGCCUCUCUCCGAAGACCUCGACUAUCAGCACAACGUCUACAUUCCCGGCGCCACGUCUGGCUACAGCACCCUGAAGCUGACGCCCAGAGGGGAGCUGGACAUGUACAACACCUUCUCAACUUUUGGGAAGAAAAAAAAAUUCAUCUCAAACUACGAGCCGUCUUUAGAUGGAGACGAUGGCAUCAUAACCAAUUCCAUCUUCAGAUAAAAAGUCAGCUCCUGCUCAUAAAUUUGAAAAGAGGGUAUUAGCAAACCACAGACUAAUAUAUGCACUUCAGUCUUUAUUUAUAAUAAGCUCAUGUAAAUAUGCUGUGAAUUAAGAAAAAAAAAAGCUUCAUUUUGAAUUUUAUACUUAUAAAUUGAGCUAUCCUGCAUGAAGCAACAAUAGAAAGCGUGUCUACCACUUUGGCUCCAUCAGAACAAUUUUUGCUGACAGACGGUUAAACUCAAUUACAGUUGAUGUAAAUGGAUGCUGAAGUCCUCCUGUCCUCCUUUCAGUUUCUCUCCUGUCAAGCAUGUAUCUCCAGUUAAACAAGAUUUUUUUUCUCUUUUAUUUUGGGGUGAUAGACCAGCAAAACACCUUUUAUAUGUUCCCAAAGUUGACUUUGCAUCAUCAAUGCAUUUAAAUCAAAGCUAAUUGCUUACGCAUAAAAAAAAAAAAAAAAAAGACUGCAUACGCAACGUUUGCAAUUUUGUGUGAUAAAGAUUAGUGCUGCGUCCAAGCCUUUUGCUUGUGCGUGAUCACUCUGACUCAUCAAGGUUAUCUGAUGAUUAAAGGUUACAAACAAAAGUCAAGAGAUGUGACACUGUUGUAAACAACUCCCCGACAGCCAGGAGAUGAUACAUUGCACACAUGCUAGAGACUCUUUAACAACUCAUAUAAAUAGUAUAUGUAUAUUUCUAUAUAUAUCUACCAGGGGUUGAUGUAAAGCCUUCACAUCCUUUGAUACACAUCCAGCUCUCUUUUUAUAUUUUACCUAUGUACAGUAGAUCAGCUUUGUCUUUCCUCCUUCUGCCGUGAACAAGUUAAAUAAACUCAAGUUUAACAGAACUGUGGAUUUUAUUUUGGAAAACAUCUAAAAUAUGCAAAAAUGAAAAAAAAUACAAAAGGUUUUUGACUUGGGGUUCUUCUUGACUGGGUUAUUCAUCUUCAAAAUUAACACAUAAAACCAUCAACUGAUUUUGCUAACAUGGUACAGUCCGAUUUUCCCUCCUAAAUGGAUAUAAAAUAUAUAUAUAUAUUAUUCAUUUAGAACUUAAAAUUAUAAAAAUAUGAGUCUUUUAACUGAGAAACACUUUUUUUAAUUUGCACUUUUUUAUUCAAGCAAAAACAAAAAUCUAUGGGAAAUAACAGAUUUAAACAUUAAAACCAGUAAUUUGCAUUUUUUUAAAACUCGUUAGUUGUUUGUGGUUAAAAAUGUGUGUCAUAAUAUUUAUUCAGCUAUUGUUUGAAGUGCUGUGGGGAAAAAAAUAUCGAAGGUGUAGAAGCAAACUUGUGAUUGGACAUCUUUUAGCAUUUAUCACAUGUAGAAAGAAAGGCAAAAUAAAGUAGUAGACACAAUAGGAAAAGAAACGCACAAAGUUAUACAAUUAUUUACUUCCUGAUCGGUUUUAUACUUUUUUUUUAGCAUGAUUGUCUUUAUAUCUGUGGUUUUUAAACCAUACUGCUGAUACUCCCAG